rnacentral:lncRNA from 1 species
AAUUUUGGUUGCUGCUGACGUGGAUGCGGUUCGGCAUGUGGUGUUUCAGACGUAUGGGAUUGUCUAUUGACCACCGACCGCCAUUAACUUGGUUGGGAGGAGCAACAGCAGCCCAACCACCAUGGCUCGCGGCUGCUCUGGGCGAGGAAAUGGUGCCAUUUUGACUCUGGUGAGCCAGGUUCAGUGGGUGGGUUAGGCUAG